UUCCGGUUGAUCCCGCCGGAGGUCACUGCUAUCGGGGUUCGAUUAAGCCAUGCGAGUCGAGAGGGUUCGGCCCUCGGCGUACUGCUCAGUAACACGUGGAUAACCUGCCCUAGGGAAGGGGAUAACCCCGGGAAACUGGGGAUAAUACCCUAUAGGUUACAGAUGCUGGAAUGCUCUGUAACCCAAAGUUCCGGCGCCUUAGGAUGGAUCUGCGGCCGAUUAGGUUGUUGUUGGGGUAAUGGCCCAACAAGCCCGUAAUCGGUACGGGUUGUGGGAGCAAGAGCCCGGAGUUGGAUUCUGAGACACGAAUCCAGGCCCUACGGGGCGCAGCAGGCGCGAAAACUUUACAAUGCGGGCAACCGUGAUAAGGGAACCUCGAGUACCUGUAUAUGCAGGCUGUCCAGGUGUCUAAGUAACACCUGAAGAAAGGGCCGGGCAAGACCGGUGCCAGCCGCCGCGGUAAUACCGGCGGCUCGAGUGGUGGCCGCUUUUAUUGGGCUUAAAGCGUUCGUAGCUGGGUUAUUAAGUCUCUUGGGAAAUCCGGCGGCUCAACCGUCGGGCGUCUAAGGGAUACUGGCAAUCUUGGAACCGGGAGAGGUGAGGGGUACUUCGGGGGUAGGAGUGAAAUCCUGUAAUCCUCGAGGGACCACCUGUGGCGAAGGCGCCUCACCAGAACGGCUUCGACAGUGAGGGACGAAAGCUGGGGGAGCAAACCGGAUUAGAUACCCGGGUAGUCCCAGCCGUAAACUAUGCGCGUUAGGUGUAUCGGUGACCACGAGUUACCGAGGUGCCGAAGGGAAACCGUGAAACGUGCCGCCUGGGAAGUACGGUCGCAAGGCUGAAACUUAAAGGAAUUGGCGGGGGAGCACCACAACAGGUGGAGCCUGCGGUUUAAUUGGAUUCAACGCCGGG
rnacentral:rRNA from 1 species